UACGUAGGGGGCAAGCGUUGUCCGGAAUCAUUGGGCGUAAAGCGCGUGUAGGCGGCUAGAUAAGUCUGCUCUGAAAGCCCGGGGCUCAACCCCGGGAGGCGGGUGGAUACUGUCUAGCUCGAGUCCGGAAGAGGAGUGUGGAAUUCCUGGUGUAGCGGUGAAAUGCGCAGAUAUCAGGAGGAACACCAAUGGCGAAGGCAGCACUCUGGGACGUGACUGACGCUGAGACGCGAAAGCGUGGGAGCAAACAGG
rnacentral:rRNA from 1 species